UACGGAGGGUGCAAGCGUUAUCCGGAUUUACUGGGUUUAAAGGGUGUGUAGGCGGACUUUUAAGUCAGCGGUGAAAUCUCCGGGCUCAACCCGGAAACUGCCAUUGAUACUAUUGGUCUUGAAUGUUGUUGAGGUGGGCGGAACGGGUCAUGUAGCGGUGAAAUGCAUAGAUAUGACCCGGAACACCGAUUGCGAAGGCAGCCCACUAAGCAACGAUUGACGCUGAGGCACGAAAGCGUGGGGAGCGAACGGG
rnacentral:rRNA from 1 species